GGCUCUUUGCUAAAUAUUAUUUAUAGAAUAAAGAGUCUGACCUGCCCAGUGAUGAAUAUUAAACGGCCGCAGUACCCUGACUGUGCAAAGGUAGCAUAAUCAUUCGCCUUUUAAUUGGAGGCUAGUAUGAAUGGUUUGACGUAGAUUAAGCUGUCUCUUUGAAAAUUAUUAGAAAUUAACUUUUAAGUGAAAAGGCUUAAAUAAAUUUAUGGGACGAGAAGACCCCUUUGAGCUUUAGUAAAUAUUUUUAUUAAUUAUUAUCAAAUUUGAAUAAUUUUAAUUAGAAUGAAUUUUUAGUCGGGGAAAACAGAGGAAUAAAAAAAGCUUCCUUUAUAAAAAUAAGUGUAAGUUGACAAAUAAAUAAGGUGAUCCACAUAUUGUGAUUAAAGGAUAAAGUUACCAUGGGGAUAACAGCGUGAUAUCUUCUGGAGAGUUCUUAUUGAAAGAGGGGUUUGCGACCUCGAUGUUGGACUAGGACAUCCUAAAGGUGCAGCAGUCUUUAAGGGUUGGUCUGUUCGACCAUUAAAGUCCUACA
rnacentral:rRNA from 1 species